UAUUUAUGUAUUUACGAGCUAAUAAUUAUUUUGCAGUCGGAGGAGUAUCUUCAAUUAGCUCUACACGCUCAGGUUCACCAAAAAAAAGUUUCACACCUUUAUCGGACAUCGAAAGCUCCUAUUACAUAUUGAAAAAAAAACUUGAGCACGAACUCCAAGUUCAUGACAUCGACAGUAUUUCUCAGAAAUCUGAACGAAGAAACAGAACAAGGGAGGAGAUAAACCAAGCCCGCAGCCGUUUCUUACGUCGAAAUCAAGGGUUUGAAGAAGGAUGUAAGAUAA